rnacentral:rRNA from 1 species
UGGGGAAUAUUGCACAAUGGGCGGAAGCCUGAUGCAGCGACGCCGCGUGGGGAUGAAGGCCUUCGGGUUGUAAACUCCUUUCGACAGGGACGAAGCUUUUGUGACGGUACCUGUAUAAGAAGCACCGGCUAACUACGUGCCAGCAGCCGCGGUAAUACGUAUGGUGCGAGCGUUGUCCGGAAUUACUGGGCGUAAAGAGCUCGUAGGUGGUUUGUCGCGUCGUCUGUGAAAUUCCGGGGCUUAACUCCGGGCGUGCAGGCGAUACGGGCUGACUUGAGUGCUGUAGGGGAGACUGGAAUUCCUGGUGUAGCGGUGAAAUGCGCAGAUAUCAGGAGGAACACCGAUGGCGAAGGCAGGUCUCUGGGCAGUAACUGACGCUGAGGAGCGAAAGCAUGGGUAGCGAACAGG